rnacentral:rRNA from 1 species
AUAGCAUGUCAGAAGGCAGACCCGGAGAACUGAAACAUCUUAGUACCCGGAGGAAGAGAAAGAAAAAUCGAUUCCCUGAGUAGCGGCGAGCGAAACGGGAAGAGCCCAAACCAACAAGCUUGCUUGUUGGGGUUGUAGGACACUCUAUACGGAGUUACAAAAGAACAUGUUAGACGAAUCAUCUGGAAAGAUGAAUCAAAGAAGGUAAUAAUCCUGUAGUCGA